CAGGGGCGAAGUGCGCCCCCGCCCAGCACACUAGCGCAGUGGAUUCAAUUUCACCAAUCAGAAUCAAGGUUUUCACAUCGACGACCCAAUCACAAAGCGUUAAAGUCCGCUUCACGAAAGUUAACGUGUGAACUGUCGUUGAGAGGGAAGCUAUUUCUGGCAAGAAAUCAUUUUGUUUCUCAGGUUUCCUUUGUUUUACUUUACCGACUCAGACGUGGAAGGUGGACACCACAAACAUAAUAAGAAAAGAACACAGAAUAUCCGGUCAGCUCCCUGCAGAAGUUAAAUGUGAAAAGAGCUAAAGAGGCGUGACUGGCAAGUACAAGCAGGAGAGGACAGACGCAGAUACUGCCGGCAAAAAUCGUUUUUCAGGAGCUUCCUGGGAUCGUUGCCUCACUCAGAGGCCACGAAAAUCUCAAAGGACCAGCUGGACCCUCACAAGCUCAAUGUGCUCAUAGAUGCUGUGUGAUAAAGCAGUUUCCAAAUCCCAUAGUGUCUGCAGUCACAGAAAAUGCAACGAGUCCUACUCAAAGAUACCGACCUUCCACUCCAAGGAUAAGGAUUGUGACAUUUUUCAGUUUCAGUUUGGUUCCACCAUUUGUACUGUAAGCUUGUGAUGGAGUACCUUCACUACAGUUGAGUAAGCGCUUGGACUGCCACACCAACGAGCCUAGUUCUUUGGCCUUGCUGUCAAAGUUGCAUGUUUGGUACCCUGUAGAACUGUGUUUGAAUCUGGGUAGGGUGACUGCUCUCGCCUUUGGCCACAUAUGGUGUCAGAAGUGGGAUGGCUUCACGUGAGGUCAUCUGAGCCGUGCCCAGAGUCCGAACCGUAUAAGAGACCCCCAUGGGUAACAUUAAUGAUGGGAUGUGUAUAGUGUACUUUUCAGUAAUACUGAUCAUAUGUCAUCAUUUUAAUGAUUUUAUUUUUAUUU